UCCAGAAGGUAUUUCCCCGCUAUUCAUAGGACAAUAAUGGAAUUUCUACAUCGUAGUAGUUCGAAACUCGGGUGAUGAUUUUAUCAUGAAUAUACGUUUAAAAUAAGUAAACACUUAAAGUGCACACUGACAGUUGAUUACGAUACACCUAACAAUUUGAGUCAUUACAGUAAAACAUGGAUUAUAAGUGAAUUAUACGCGUAAGAGAAGAUUUUCUGUUGAAAAAACGAAUGUCAACAAUCGGCAUGGAACUGGGAUAUUCGUAUCAAAGGGCUAUGUAUGUAGGAAAAUGACUGAAUAUUACUAAGUCAACAAAUUGGGGUUAUGAAGAAUUCCAGCCUGCAUUAAAUACUAUGUUGGAUCAUUGAGACAGAUUUGACAUCCAUGUCAUCCACAAGGCAGUCAUAUCUGAUAGAGAUGAUCACUAAACUUUGUAGAUGGGUAAAGAACCUAAAGGGGCAUGACAACCAAAUCAGCAUUGACUCAGCAUUGAGUAAUUAUCAUCUGUGCACACACUACAAGUACAAACGCAUGGGAACAGACCAAACUUCAAAUGUUGAAGAGUGAAGACUUAUUGUGAAAAAUUACCAUUGACAAAAUAAAACAAAAAGACAUUGAUUACCUACAGAGACUGUUUACAUGUUAUAAUCAUAAAAAGACAAAUUAGUUGAGAACUUUCACUCUGACAUUUUUGGAGGGGCAUUACAGCCUACAUGUACAUAGUGUUCUUGUUUCUUUACAUAUUUUAAUUUGAAAGUACAUUCAUUGUUUUUAAAUCUGAAUUUUGAGUUAGUAUCAUACGAAAAUUCAUUUAUUUGAAUGAUUACAUUUUAUGAAUAAGUCCAAUAAAGCUUUAUCAAUUUUUACAAGAAAAGGGUUGAUUUUUUAAGCAUUUUAUUAGCUAUAAAAAUGUAUGGUUACAUGACAUUAUGUAUGUAUUUUCUUCAAAAUUGAACGGUAAACUAUCAUAAAUUGUCUUUUAAAUUGUUCAUUAGACAUCAUAGAAAAUAUUUAAAAUGAUUUCAGCAGGUUGCCUUAUUAUUAAUUAUUUUUUAUGAAUUUAUAAAACUGCUUUAUAUUUUUUUUAAACAUCGAAAUACUGCUCUGUUCAGAAGACUCACAAGAUCAAUCAAAAUGAUUUUUUUGCAUGUGUGUCAAUAAUGCUGUUCGGUUGAACUUAUGUUUUCUGUUAACUGAAGUUUAUUUCACCAGAAACUGUUGUGUUUAUUUCAUAUAAAGCUCUGAUAAUGUGAAACAGAAAUCUAAUAUAGACAAAAUAUUUACUUGUCGCUCUUUGUAGCCCUUGGAGUUUGGGGUUGGGUGUAAUGAAACUUAAAUAACUAUUUUAAUUCACGGUAAAAUAUCUUCAAAAUUUGGAUAAAAGUCCCAUAGUGUACCUUGAUAAAACUAUGUUGUCGGUGAAAGCUUUUUUUAAAGUGUGUAUUACUUAAAUACCUUAAUUCAGUUUAAAUAAUUAUGGCCUGAUUUUUGUUUUCAAAUAGAUUUCCUGUUAUAUUGAGCUUUGUCAAUUUUGUUGUUGUUUUGUAUUAUGUACAAUUACUACUUCUAUUUCCUAACUUAAAUUUUUUGUCUAAUUUGUCAAAUUGAAUUGGUACAUAUUUCAUAUAAAGUGAAAAAAAACACACACUAUUUUAAAAGAUGCACUCUUACUCCCAAACAAGACUUAUCACAAUUAAUAUUAUUGUUUUGAUUUUUCAAAAUGGAUUGAUAGAUGUCAACAACAAUGUUUCCAAUGAAGGAUUUUGAGUUCGAUUUGCUAAUAAGAAUGAACAUAAAACAUGGUAUUUCUGCCUUGUGAUACUAUAGUAGACCACAGUCAAUCUUUUAGCAAUCACCAAUCAUUUAAUAUUUGUCAUGCUUUCUGCUAUUAUAAACAGGGUCACAAGCUUGUUAUAAAUCAGUAAACAAUAUUUCAGUAAAUGCAUUAUUUAGUAAGUAGUUAUUGUUUUAUCAGUCAAUUUGAUGUGUGUUAUAAAUACAAUUAUAUGCAGGGCUUCCAUUAAAGGAAGUUUGGAAGUAUAUUACUCCUUAGAAAUGGGUUAAAACUUUCAAAAUUGAUUUCUAGGAAGUACAAAAACUUCCAUAAUUUUGAAGAAAACCACCAAAGUAGAAAGCUUGGAAGUUCGAAAUAUUCAAACCUUGUGUCAAUAUUACUUUUAUGGUCACAAUUUCAAUCAGUCUUAAGAUAAAAUGAUUUAUUAUAAUAUAAGUCUUUGAAUUUGGCAAGUUAAAGUUACAAAUUACUUGAUUUUUAACAUUCUAAUUGAAAAAUAGUGGAAAAAGAUAUUGUAUUCGGGAGAUUUUAACAUCCACAUUUCAGUGUAAAACUUCCAAAAUUGAUGGACAGGAAGUUGAUACUUCAAGUUUCAAAUUCUUAAUGGAAGCCCUGUUAAAUGUAUUGAUUUCAAUUAAGAGUUUCACUUUUAAGAUGCUCAUUUAAAGAUAAUGAACAGACACACAAAAACUAGACACAUAUGAUACUAAUUGUAUGAAUGAUUAUUGUUUAGGUGACCUCUGAUUUGUUUUGGAGAUAUUCAUAAAUGGGUGCUAUUCUUUGUUGUCUUCAGUUUCUUAUACAUUCAAGGAUUUUUAUAAUUGCUUUUCUGGUAUAUAUUAAUUUAAUGCAAGUGAAAACACACUUUAAAGUAGACACAUUUGAUACUAAUUAUAUAAAUGAUUAUUGUUGACAUGUACUCUGAUUUGUUAUGAAGAUAUUCAUAAAGGGGUGUUCGUCAUGUUAUUAUACAUUUUGGACUUGAUUUAGUAUUGCUUUUCUGGUAUAUAUUCAUUUAAUGCACAAAGAAAUUAUUUUAAGUGUUCAGUAUCACUUUCACACAUUGUUUACCAUUAUUUUGUGCAUAUUUGGCCUAUUUAUGCUUAUAUGUGCAUUGUUGUAUUUCAAAACCUUUGUGAAAAAUAGAAACAGUAUUAUUUCUUUCAUGCAUAGUCUGAUACAUAUUCAGUUUGUAUGCAUUACUUUUAUCAUAUUUGAAAAAAAUGCCAUUGUCCUAUAAGACACAUGCUAUUUUUGUGUUAAUAUCACUAUCAACUAAAAACAUCCAUUUUCAACUCUUCUUUACCAUGUAAAUGGAGAAGUUAACAUUAUAACUCCAUUGACCAGUUGUUUUAUGCAAUUUGUCCAAUUUCAUACAUUUUAGUAUUAUUAAAUA